CUGAUUAUUUCUUUAUUGAAAUCAAACAUGUAGGUAAAAAAUACUUAAUUUGUGACGUUGAAAAUGUCUUGCUCCAACUCAUUGUGAUGCACCUGCUUGUAGAUGACUAGAUCCAUGUGCAUCUUAGGUCUCCUUGUCUGAGCUGCAUCUGGUUUAAAACUGAACGGGUGGAUAGCUCCAAUAUUGCUCGCUAUUUUAGCUCGCUAGUGUUAGCUUGGGAUUGUGAGGGGCUAGCUAGCGGGAGUGCAUGUAAAAAGAGAUAUUUAUAAUAAAAUCAAAAUAGCACAUUUAGAAUCUCUGAUUUUGGGUCAAAUUUAGAAAUAAGAUGAAAUUCUCACUGAGUUUCAGUGUAAAAAAGUGUUGAAUGUUUCUCCGCAGAGAAAAGUGAAGACUUCUAAGCUGGACAAGAGUGUUGCUGAAAGCCCCCAAACCAUCAGAGCUCCAUUAGCUCCGCUGGCUCUUAAGGCCAUCUCCUGUUACACCCCCACUAUCCAGAGGAUCGAUUUCUGGGCUCGAAUUCGCUCUCCCGGGCCUCUAAUGGCAGACAAAACCGGAGCCAGAAGAAAUACUAUACAUGCUGACGAGCAGCCACCCAGAAGACAAGAAAGAAAAAAAGGGAGUGGUGAGAGGAAAGGGGCGCAGAACGGCGGAUAGCGGGAGAUGAAAGCAGUUCUUGGUGAAACACGGAGUGAAACUUGCCAGAAAGGAGAAGUGACAGUGAUGAAGAGGAGGAGAGAAAAGGGGAAGAACUUCAGGGCGACUUGGAGGACGUGAGCCAGAAUUCCACAAAAUAAAAGAGCGGAGAUGGGAGAGAUUUCUUCACUUGAAAGGAAACAGCUCAACGCAGAAGUGUGACGGUAAAGACGACUGACCUGUCAAAGGAGUGAAACUGCAUCGGUAACAUGGGGUGCGUCUUCAGAGCCGGGUCCGGGUGGUAGGGGGUCGGUCCGGACUCCUGUCCCAACUCUGCACCGUCGAUGGGAGCCGCCACCAAGCUCUUCAGGAUCUCCUACAAUCCAGAAAAAGAAAGAAAAAAA